GCCUGGCUAGCUCAAUCGGUAGAGCGUCAGACUCUUAUGAAUUGGUCAAGCAUUCUGGAUCACCUCCAAAUGAACCAAUCUGAAGGUUGUGGGUUCGACCCCCACGUUAGGCU